rnacentral:rRNA from 1 species
AUUGAACGCUGGCGGCAUGCUUUACACAUGCAAGUCGAACGGUAACAGGCCGCAAGGUGCUGACGAGUGGCGAACGGGUGAGUAAUGCAUCGGAACGUGCCCAGUCGUGGGGGAUAACGCAGCGAAAGCUGCGCUAAUACCGCAUACGAUCUAUGGAUGAAAGCGGGGGACCGUAAGGCCUCGCGCGAUUGGAGCGGCCGAUGUCAGAUUAGGUAGUUGGUGGGGUAAAGGCUCACAGAGCCAACGAUCUGUAGCUGGUCUGAGAGGACGACCAGCCACACUGGGACGGGGACGCGGCCCAGACUCAUACGGGAGGCAGAAGUGGGGAAUUUUGGACAAGGGGCGCAAGCCUGAUCCAGCAAUGCCGCGAGCAGGAAGAAGGCCUUCGGGUUGUAAACUGCUUUUGUACGGAACGAAACGGUCCUGGUUAAUACCUGGGGCUAAUGACGGUACCGUAAGAAUAAGCACCGGCUAACUACGUGCCAGCCGCCGCCGUAACAC